AAGUAGGAGGGCGCGGACUCUACCUCGCUCAUUUGCUAGUAGCAGCGGUGAGAGGAGAGUGGUCGCUGCGCUGCAUUUGCCCUUCCCCCUUCUUGGCCUCCGAUCCCCGGGCUGGGUGCCCGUCUGUCGCCUCUACGGAGCCCGUGAAUCUUCUGCGAUCUCGUUACACGGCCUGUAGCUUUCCACCUUUGUGGCCUGAAGGUUGAGGCCCGCUUCGGCGUCUAUUCCCUGGCUUGAGGGGCCUCCCAGGCCAGAUCCGGUACCGACUCUCCUGAUCUGUUCGCCAGGUUUCUCUCCUCAGUCCCGCCGCCCCUCGGGGGCCUCUGCCCGCCAUGAGCUACGGGCGCCCCCCGCCUGAUGUGGAGGGCAUGACUUCCCUGAAGGUGGAUAACCUGACCUACCGCACGUCUCCAGACACGUUAAGACGGGUCUUCGAGAAGUACGGGCGGGUGGGGGACGUCUACAUCCCCCGGGACCGCUACACCAAGGAGAGCCGCGGCUUUGCCUUCGUCCGCUUCCACGACAAGCGCGAUGCCGAGGAUGCGAUGGACGCCAUGGACGGCGCAGUGCUGGACGGCCGAGAGCUCCGCGUCCAGAUGGCCCGUUACGGGAGGCCCCCGGACUCCCAUCACAGCCGCCGGGGGCCGCCGCCGCGCCGAUACGGAGGUGGCGGCUACGGACGCCGCAGCCGCAGCCCCAGAAGACGCCGCCGCAGCCGAUCCAGGAGCAGGAGCCGCUCUAGGUCCCGCAGUCGAUCCCGCUACAGUCGGUCCAAGUCCAGAUCCCGCACACGCUCGCGAUCUCGCUCGACCUCUAAGUCUAGGUCUGCCAGGAGAUCCAAAUCCAAGUCGUCAUCCGUCUCCAGAUCCCGAUCCAGGUCGAGGUCCAGAUCCAGGUCUAGAAGUCCCCCACCAGUCUCAAAGAGGGAAUCUAAAUCCAGAUCCAGGUCUAAGAGCCCCCCCAAAUCUCCCGAAGAGGAAGGAGCUGUAUCCUCUUAGGAAAAUGGUAAUGUAGCUGGAAUGCUAUGCAAUUUGCAUGUUACUUCAUAAUAGCCCUUAAGUGGGGUGUAUCGGGGUAGUUCUUACCAUAUUAACCUGAAUCAAGUGACUCGUAAUGGGAGACACUGUUCGCUUUUUGAGCAGACUUUUCAGUUAUUUGGCUAGGGAAAUAAAUUUUUGCAGAGGACAUAUUUUUAUGUUUUGUUGAGAGAUUAAUGGUUUGGUUUUAAUGAAAUAUUGUAUGAGACGCAACCUAUUAAUGAAAAUGACUUUCUUGCUGUUUUUUAUCCAACAUCUGCAUUUUCCCCUUUAAAGCUGCGGUCUCCUGUUUGCUAAAAGAAUAUUGGCCAGUAUUGCAGAUUUUAACUGAUUUGGCUGAUCCUCCAGGGACCAGUUUCUGUGGGCGUGUAUUGGAGCAGAUGCAUCAGAUAAAUGAGAAAUCUACAUAAAGGACGCCUCUGGGGGAAAAGAUCCUAUGAAUCUUCAGUCCAUUGGAGAGACCCCAGGCACAAGCAACCAGCUGUUGAAAAGGUUAUUUUGUAACAUUUUUGUCUAACUUUUUACUUGUUUAAGUUGAGCCUCAAAUGGCAGACUUUACAUUUUAUGUGCCAUUUUGUUGCUGUUAUUCAAAUUUCUUGUAAUUUAGUGAAGUGAACGACUACCGAUUUCAUUAUUGGCUUGGAUAUUUGAGGUAAAUUUUCAUUUUUGUUUAUAUAGUGCUGGCUUUUGUUUGACUUUAAAAAAAACUGAUGGUAACUUAAUUUGUUGCCUCAAGUUUCAUGUUGCGGAAACAUGCAGCCAUUACAUGCCGAGUAGCUGACUGUCAAGGAAGUGUUCUCAAUUUGCCUUCAUUCCUUAAAUAAAAUUCUGCAAAACUUUUUCAGAUGUAAACUUCUUGUAAAUGCUAUUUGCUUUGAAUUUAAAUAGUAUCGUCUAUUCCAAAUUUGUAUAAAACUUUUCAGGUGACAGUUGAUUUUGAAAGGAUUGUUUUAUCAGACUCAAUUCUAAUCUCUUCUCUUAUGUAUUUUUGUGCACUAGGCGCAGUUGUGUAGCAGUUGAGUAAUGCUGGUUAGCUGUUAAGGUGGCGUGUUGCAGUGCAGAGUGCUUGGCUGUUUCCUGUUUUCUCCUGAUUGCUCCUGUGUAACGAUGCCUUGUCGUGCAGAAACAAAUGGCUGUCCAGUUAAUUAAAAUGCCUGACAACUGCACUUCCAGUCACCCGGGCCUUGCAUAAAAAUAAUGGAGCAUACAGUGAGCACAUCUAGCUGAUGAUAUACACACCUUAUUUUUUCCAGAAUGGUAAAUCUUACCAUCUUCUUUUAUGAACUUGCAUAUAAGAAAUGUAAUGUUAAGAGCAAAUGUUUCAUUCCUUUGUAAGUACUGAUUGGUGUAUCUUUUGCUUAUGACAUUAUGUACUAUAACCACUGUCCCUGUAGUUAUUAAACAUUUUUCUUGGUGUUAACUUUUCUCAA